AACGCGAAGAACCUUACCAGGGCUUGACAUCUGAGGAAUGCUUAUGAAAGUAGGCAGUGCUCUUCGGAGAGCCUCAAGACAGGUGGUGCACGGUUGUCGUCAGCUCGUGUCGUGAGAUGUUGGGUUAAGUCCCGCAACGAGCGCAACCCUUGCCCUUAGUAACCAGCAGUCAGAUGGGGACUCUAAGGGGACUGCCCGGGAUAACCGGGAGGAAGGUGGGGACGACGUCAAAUCAUCAUGCCCCUUAUGAUUUGGGCUACACACGUGCUACAAUGGCGUAAACAAAGAGAGGCGAAGUCGUGAGGCAGAGCAAAUCUCAGAAAUAACGUCUCAGUUCGGAUUGUAGUCUGCAACUCGACUCCAUGAAGUCGGAAUCGCUAGUAAUCGCAAAUCAGAAUGUUGCGGUGAAUACAUUCCCGGGUCUUGUACACACCGA
rnacentral:rRNA from 1 species